GCAGUCGCCGCGGGAAUACGUAGGGCGCAAGCGUUAUCCGGAAUUAUUGGGCGUAAAGAGCUCGUAGGCGGUUUGUCGCGUCUGCCGUGAAAGUCCGGGGCUCAACCCCGGAUCUGCGGUGGGUACGGGCAGACUAGAGUGAUGUAGGGGAGACUGGAAUUCCUGGUGUAGCGGUGAAAUGCGCAGAUAUCAGGAGGAACACCGAUGGCGAAGGCAGGUCUCUGGGCAUUAACUGACGCUGAGGAGCGAAAGCAUGGGGAGCGAACAGGAUUAGAUACCCGUGUAGUCCCUGUCUCUUAUAC
rnacentral:rRNA from 1 species